GAAAGUACGAACAUCUGUACUGAAUACCCGCGGCAAUAAAAAUUUAUCAUCGAUAUUCCAUAUUAGCACACAAUAUAUAUUUCAGGAAACUGGUGUCAUAUCGCGAGAUGACUAUUUAGAUGAAGAAGGUUGUAAUUUCUUCUAGUUAGAUUUUGUCAAGAAAAGAGUUUUCACAAUGCAUUUUAUGAUACGAACAUUUAUUUACACUAUUAUUUUUGUGGUUUUUAUUCUAAGUAUUGUAACAAAACCUAAAAACUCAUCAAUGUUAAAUAUUGAUAACCAUGCAGUCGUUAACGAAGAAAUAAACAUUUAUGAUAAUAAAUCGAUAAAUAAUACGAAUACGAUAGAAAACGCACAUUUUGAAAAACAGUAUUAUAAUAAUGACAUAUUGGAUUGGGCUCUUAUAUAUAGUGCAUUUAAGAUGGCCUUAAAAUUACUUUCUAUAAUGCUUCCUUUAGCAUACGUAUUUUAUAUAAUUUUAGUUCAUAAAUGUAAGAUUUGGGAUGGACAAUUACUAAAACGACAUUGCUAUUAUAUUAUCAAUUUUUUCUUUUGGUGUUGUCGUAUUCCUAUCUAUUUAAACGCUGAUAAUAAUAAUUCAAACCGUGCGCCUGAUUACGUUGCCACUUAUCGAGCAGAGUCAUACACUAUAUAUAACACAAACGAUGCUUCAAUAGAGGAUGUUUAAUUUGAAAUUUUGCAUUGAUAUUAUUGUAAAAAAACUGAUUUAAGGAUUGAUAAUAAUUCUAUAAGUAUACAAUUAUAAUUUUUAAGAUAU